rnacentral:lncRNA from 1 species
ACAAAAGUCCACCGAAACUACAAAUUUCAAACCUAGUCCUUCACAAUGGGUAACUCUCGCGCUUUUACACCUCCACAAUCGAUCUCGCGCGAUUCGGUACAUAAAAUAUUACGACUUUUGCGAAUUUCCCGAUUUUCCACUCUCGACCCCUUAACGAACUUAUUGUAAUUCCCAAAGAUCCGUCCAUCGGAUUUCCGAUCGGAUCAUGCCAACGCGUUCAGCACGUCGAGGCAUCGAAUCUAGCAUUUCGUUUCGUCCGAUUUGAUCUCCGAUUCGACGAAAUCCAAUCUCUCUCCAAAAGGCCAAAAUGAUGCACAAUUAUAUAAGAAACAUGUAUUUUCAGAUUUUCUCGAAAACCGUGCAUCAGAUCUAAAAUCCGUCAGUGCCAUUGGUUCCAGAAUAGCUGAACCGUUCAAAACGACCUAUUGGACCGCUAUGAACGGUGUCCGAUACGUGCCGAAAGCCAACUCUACUCCGUGGCUUCACCGGAAAACCGAAGUUACUAUUCACUUAAGUGAAAACUAAUAAUCGCGUAAUUUCUCCGUUUUAGCUCAGUUUCUCCUGAAACUUGACGAGUGCUUAUGUAAUUAAAUUACACACAUAAACAUCGUCAACAGAGAGUUUAAUAGCACUGUAAAAAUCUCAGUCCUUACAUUAUCCCCCCCUUAAAAGAAGUUUCGUCCCCGAAACUUGACCACGUACCCACCGAAAUAGGACAAAUCGA